UGAUUUACAUUUGAGUGAGUGGCGAACUGGUGAGUAACACGUGGGAAACCUGCCCAGAAGCGGGGGAUAACACCUGGCAAACAGAUGCUAAUACCGCAUAACAACUUGGACCGCAUGGUCCGAGCUUGAAAGAUGGCUUCGGCUAUCACUUUUGGAUGGUCCCGCGGCGUAUUAGCUAGAUGGUGGGGUAACGGCUCACCAUGGCAAUGAUACGUAGCCGACCUGAGAGGGUAAUCGGCCACAUUGGGACUGAGACACGGCCCAAACUCCUACGGGAGGCAGCAGUAGGGAAUCUUCCACAAUGGACGAAAGUCUGAUGGAGCAACGCCGCGUGAGUGAAGAAGGGUUUCGGCUCGUAAAACUCUGUUGUUAAAGAAGAACAUAUCUGAGAGUAACUGUUCAGGUAUUGACGGUAUUUAACCAGAAAGCCACGGCUAACUACGUGCCAGCAGCCGCGGUAAUACGUAGGUGGCAAGCGUUGUCCGGAUUUAUUGGGCGUAAAGCGAGCGCAGGCGGUUUUUUAAGUCUGAUGUGAAAGCCUUCGGCUCAACCGAAGAAGUGCAUCGGAAACUGGGAAACUUGAGUGCAGAAGAGGACAGUGGAACUCCAUGUGUAGCGGUGAAAUGCGUAGAUAUAUGGAAGAACACCAGUGGCGAAGGCGGCUGUCUGGUCUGUAACUGACGCUGAGGCUCGAAAGUAUGGGUAGCAAACAGGAUUAGAUACCCUGGUAGUCCCAUACCCGUAAACGAUGAAUGCUAAGUGUUGGAGGGUUU
rnacentral:rRNA from 1 species